rnacentral:rRNA from 1 species
UACGGGGGGUGCGAGCGUUGUUCGGAUUCACUGGGUAUAAAGGGUGCGCAGGCGGCCUGUUAAGUCAGAGGUGAAAUUCGUCGGCUCAACCGACGAACUGCCCCUGAAACUGACAGGCUUGAGUCCGGGAGAGGAAGGUGGAAUUCCAGGUGUAGCGGUGAAAUGCGUAAAUAUCUGGAGGAACACCGGUGGCGAAGGCGGCCUUCUGGCCCGGAACUGACGCUCAGGCACGAAAGCUAGGGGAGCGAAC